AAAUAUAUUUAUGUGUCCUUCGCAUUAUUUUCCAAGAACUAUAAUAUCGUAGGUGUUGUUUGUGCCUGUCUCUGUUUAAAAAAACGACUUUCAAGACAAAAUCUAUACUUAUUGAGUAAGGACAUAAUUGCAUAUGUAGUCAUGCAGGAUAAAAUUAAUUUGAUGCAGUUAGGCAGGGUCACUCCAUCUAAAGUGGAUUAAUUUCUGUUUGUAGUUAUAACAUGUAUAAUUCAAUUAAAAAAAAUUGAGAUGUGAAAUAAUUGCCAAUGAAACAACUAUAUCCACCAGAGUUUAAAUGACAUAGACAUAAUCAAUAGUAUAUUUGCCAAUUACCGAUUUGACUAUAUUGUUACACACGUUUAACACAAGUAGUUUCCCUUUGUCAAUUUUAAACUGGUUCUAAACUGGACAAAAUGGGCAGCUGCCCAUGCAAAGCAAGAUAAGUUGAAAGUAAUAAAUAUACAACAAAAUCAACAACAACAAAAAAUCAAUUGAUAUCAAAUUUUUUUAGCUUACCAGAAAAGUAAAAGAUAUUAAAAUAUUUUAAAAACUUGAAUAUUACAUACAUUACACACAUAUGGAGUUGUACUUUUUGCAAAAACGUUAAUGUUAUAACCAUCACCGUGUCGAUGUCUCUGCUGGUGGACUGUAAGUCACCGAGGGUAGCAUUAGCCCGGUAGUCAGUACAACGGUAUUGGCAUGAAAAUACGUCACCGAGGGUAGCAUUAGCCAGGUAUUCAGUACAACGGUAUUGGCAUGAAAAUACGUCACCGAGGGUAGUUUAAGCCAGGUAGUCAGUACUACGAUACUGGCAUGAAAAUACGUCACUGAGGGUAGCAUUAGCCAGGUAGUCAGUACAACGGUACUGGCAUGAAAAUACGUCACCGAGGGUAGCAUUAGCCAGGUAGUCAGUACAACGGUAUUGGCAUGAAAAUACGUCACCGAGGGUAGCAUUAGCCAGGUAGUCAGUACAACGGUAUUGGCAUGAAAAUACGUCACCGAGGGUAGCAUUAGCCAGGUAGUCAGUACAACGGUAUUGGCAUGAACAUACGUCACAGAGGGUAGUUUAAGCCAGGUAGUCAGUACAACGGUACUGGCAUGAAAAUACGUCACCAAGGGUACCUUUAGCCAGGUAUCCAGAACUAGGAUACUGGCAUGAAAAUACGUCACCGAAGGUACCUUUAGCCAGGUAUCCAGAACUAGGAUACUGGCAUGAACAUAUGGAUAGUGUUUUAUCUAAAUUUUCUGAUAUAAAGUUUCGAAAUAAUUUAAAAUCAAAGAAUGUAUAUAUCUCUUUCGUGCAUAGCUCUGAUUCCUUAUAUGGGGUUUUUGGUCCUUUUUGGUUUAUCAGCUCUUCAACAGUUGGAAUAAUAAAUGAGUUGGAUUUUCACAUAUUUGUAACUCGAGCAUUACUGAAGAUACAUUUAUUGUCGAAAUGCACAUCCAAUGCAGUAAACUGGUACCGUUAAUGUCAUUGAUAGGUUGCAUAAGGGAACACAGUCGAUUGAUUAAAAUCCACAGAAACCUAUUCAUCUCUUGUCUAUUUAUCCAAGUCAUAAACAUCUACAUUAUAAUAUCUGUAUCCGAAAAAAAACAACAUUUCAAGUACGGUAGCGAAGAAGGCAAUUCACCGUUUCAGAAUCUAUAGGACUGUUCGUACCCUAAAAUGAAAAUUACGUCACUUCAUUGGUUGAAUUUCCAUUAUUCAGGACGUUUUUAACCAAUCAUAUCGUUUUGGUGUACAUUUUAAUGAAUAUUACCCAGAAUGCAUUAGAUUCUGAAACGGCGAAUCCUUACCUUCGUAAUACGAAAAUGAAACACAAGAACACAAUGCUAUUUUAACAAUUAUAAAAUAAUAUUCACUCUCUCGGCAUUUUGAUGACAAUUCUGUAGUUAUAACAAAUAUAAUAUUGUUUUUU